AUGUCGACUUGGAGGUUGUGCCCUUGAGGCGUGGCUUCCGGAGCUAACGCGUUAAGUCGACCGCCUGGGGAGUACGGCCGCAAGGUUAAAACUCAAAUGAAUUGACGGGGGCCCGCACAAGCGGUGGAGCAUGUGGUUUAAUUCGAUGCAACGCGAAGAACCUUACCUACUCUUGACAUCCAGAGAACUCAGCAGAGAUGCUUUGGUGCCUUCGGGAACUCUGAGACAGGUGCUGCAUGGCUGUCGUCAGCUCGUGUUGUGAAAUGUUGGGUUAAGUCCCGCAACGAGCGCAACCCUUAUCCUUUGUUGCCAGCGGUCCGGCCGGGAACUCAAAGGAGACUGCCAGUGAUAAACUGGAGGAAGGUGGGGAUGACGUCAAGUCAUCAUGGCCCUUACGAGUAGGGCUACACACGUGCUACAAUGGCAUAUACAGAGAGAAGCGACCUCGCGAGAGCAAGCGGACCUCAUAAAGUAUGUCGUAGUCCGGAUUGGAGUCUGCAACUCGACUCCAUGAAGUCGGAAUCGCUAGUAAUCGUAGAUCAGAAUGCUACGGUGAAUACGUUCCCGGGCCUUGUACACACCGCCCGUCACACCAUGGGAGUGGGUUGCAAAAGAAGUAGGUAGCUUAACCUUCGGGAGGGCGCUUACCACUUUGUGUUUCAUGACUGGGGUGAAGUCGUAACAAGGUAACCGUAAAGGGCGAAUU
rnacentral:rRNA from 1 species